CACGUAAGGUGCGAGCGUUGUUCGGAAUUAUUGGGCGUAAAGGGCAUGUAGGCGGCACUGUAAGUCGGGCGUGAAAUGCCGGGGCUCAACCCCGGCGCCGCGCCCGAUACUGCGGUGCUUGAGUCGGCGAGGCGGAGGCGGAAUUCCUGGUGUAGGGGUGAAAUCUGUAGAUAUCAGGAAGAACACCGGUGGCGAAGGCAGCCUUCGAGCGCACGACUGACGCUGAGGUGCGAAGGUGCGGGGAG
rnacentral:rRNA from 1 species